CAAAAGCGGAGGAAAAGAAACCAACAGGGAUUGCCUCAGUAGCGGCGAGUGAAGCGGCAAGAGCUCAGAUUUGAAAUCGCCUCGGCGAGUUGUAAAUUGCAGGUUGGAGUCUUUGUGGCGGCGUGUGUCUAAGUCCCUUGGAACAGGGCGCCAUUGAGGGUGAGAGCCCCGUGCGGCACGCGUCUAAGCUUUAAGACCCUUCUGACGAGUCGAGUUGUUUGGGAAUGCAGCUCUAAGUGGGUGGUAAAUUCCAUCUAAGGCUAAAUACUGGCGAGAGACCGAUAGCGAACAAGUACUGUGAAGGAAAGAUGAAAAGCACUUUGAAAAGAGAGUGAAACAGCACGUGAAAUUGUUGAAAGGGAAGGGUAUUGGGCUCGACAUGGGGACUGCGCACCGUUGCUUCUUGUAGGCGGCGCUCUGUGCGGUUUCUGGGCCAGCAUCAGUUUUUGCCGCGGGAGAAUGGGGGGAGGAACGUGGCUCUUCGGAGUGUUAUAGCCUCUCUCAGAUGCCGCGAGCGGGGACUGAGGUCUGCGAUUCGUUCAAGGAUGCUGGCACAACGGCGCAAUACCGCCCGUCUUGA
rnacentral:rRNA from 1 species